rnacentral:rRNA from 1 species
AGUCGAGGGGCAGCGGGGGUGCAGGCUUGCCUGCACCUGCCGGCGACCGGCGUGCGGGUGAGUAACACGUAUGGAACCUGCCCGCCACAGGGGGAUAACCCGGGGAAACCCGGCCUAAUACCCCAUGCCGCCCGGACCGGGCAUCCGGACCGGGCGAAAGGAGGAAUCCGGUGGCGGCUGGGCAUGCGGCGCAUUAGCUUGACGGCGGGGUAACGGCCCACCGUGGCGACGAUGCGUAGGGGUUCUGAGAGGAAGGCCCCCCACACUGGAACUGAGACACGGUCCAGACUCCUACGGGAGGCAGCAGUGAGGAAUAUUGGUCAAUGGGCGGAAGCCUGAACCAGCCAAGUCGCGUGAGGGAAUAAGGCCCUACGGGUCGUAAACCUCUUUUGCCGGGGAGCAAGGGCCGGGACGAGUCCCGGCCCGGAGAGUACCCGGAGAAAAAGCAUCGGCUAACUCCGUGCCAGCAGCCGCGGUAAUACGGAGGAUGCGAGCGUUAUCCGGAUUUAUUGGGUUUAAAGGGUGCGUAGGCGGGCUUUUAAGUCAGCGGUAAAAAUUCGGGGCUCAACCCCGUCCGGCCGUUGAAACUGGGGGCCUUGAGUGGGCGAGAAGAAGGCGGAAUGCGUGGUGUAGCGGUGAAAUGCAUAGAUAUCACGCAGAACCCCGAUUGCGAAGGCAGCCUUCCGGCGCCCUACUGACGCUGAGGCACGAAAGUGCGGGGAUCGAACAGGAUUAGAUACCCUGGUAGUCCGCACAGUAAACGAUG